rnacentral:rRNA from 1 species
UACGUAGGUGGUUUUCUAAGCACGGGGUUUAAGGCAAUGGCUUAACCAUUGUUCGCCUUGUGAACUGGAAGACUUGAGUGCAGGAGAGGAAAGCGGAAUUCCUAGUGUAGCGGUGAAAUGCGUAGAUAUUAGGAGGAACACCAGUGGCGAAGGCGGCUUUCUGGACUGUAACUGACACUGAGGUACGAAAGCGUGGGGAGCAAACA